rnacentral:misc_RNA from 1 species
UAAAUAAAUAAAUUUUUGUAAGAAAGGAGAUAGAUCCAGAACAAGACAUUCUUAAAGGCAACGAACAAUACAAACAUCGAUCGCUAAUAUGUAUAAUUAAUCUUAAUCUUAUACACGAAAAUCAAGAUUCCCUUAUUACUCGAUCAGUUACCUGCUUUAUCCCUUGGUUUCUAUUAACUACGCACUCGUGUUUGAAUCCUUCUCAAAUCACAAACCAAACGAUUUAUGGAAAUGGAAGCAACAGAGUAGUACUCCUGCUUUCACCUUCUUGCGUCCAAUUCCAUUCCUUCUCUUCCUCUUCCACAAUCUUUCCUUGACAUAUUCACUCAAACUGUAAACCGUAGGAGAGCGGCCAUUGUUAUCCCUUGCGCAGGAGUCCAAGAAAACAGCGGCGGGUACUGCAUCAGACGCCGUACAAAAUUUCCUGGAGGGCCUUCUUGAUCCUACCAGAGAUGGCAGUAUCAUUAGAUGCCGUUCAAUGUGAUGGCUAAGUGACACCAACUCAUAUGAAUCAUACAAGGGACUGCCUAAGUCCCAUAUGGGCAAGGCUUUCUCUUCAUCUUUCUGAUAAUUUUCUUGGGAUUCGAACGUUUUCUUCAUGGGAAUCUGCAGGUCCUUGUUUGGGUUCUCAGGAUUGUUCUGCAGGAAGACGUAGAAGAAUAGACUGAUAAAUGAAACUUGG